UAUCGAUAAAGGCACAGCUAUUGAAAGAUAGUGUCGCAAAGCUAUGGGUCUAAGGAAUAACUUAUUCUAUGAUUGCCAGGUUGCCAAA
rnacentral:ncRNA from 1 species